GGAUCUUAAAAUGACUGAGAUUUAUGAAUAUUUACAGAGUUGAUUCAGCUGAACUGUGUGGCUAAGCAGGUACCCCUUUCUUCUCUCAUUGCUCCAUAUAUGUCCUUCCCAAAGCUAUGUGCUUGGUGGGAAAAGAUUACCAUCUCAGGUAGAAAGAUAGAAGGAGCAUAGGAUCCUUUUGUCAAAGUUAUAUGAUUGCUGUGUUCCUGUGCUAGAACAUACAGACAAGGUCACAUUGUGAGGAAAAUGGUUUCCAAUUCUGGCCC
rnacentral:snRNA from 1 species